rnacentral:rRNA from 1 species
AAACCAACAGGGAUUACCUCAGUAACGGCGAGUGAAGCGGUAACAGCUCAAAUUUGAAAUCUGGGUCUUUCAGGCUCCGAGUUGUAAUUUGUAGAAGAUGCUUCGGGUGCGGCUCCGGUCUAAGUUCCUUGGAACAGGACGUCAUAGAGGGUGAGAAUCCCGUAUGUGAUCGGUUGCUUGCGCCCAUGUGAAGCUCUUUCGACGAGUCGAGUUGUUUGGGAAUGCAGCUCAAAAUGGGUGGUAAAUUUCAUCUAAAGCUAAAUAUUGGCCAGAGACCGAUAGCGCACAAGUAGAGUGAUCGAAAGAUGAAAAGCACUUUGGAAAGAGAGUUAAACAGUACGUGAAAUUGUUGAAAGGGAAGCGCUUGCAACCAGACUUGUGCGUUGCCGAUCAUCCGGGGUUCUCCCCGGUGCACUCGGCCUCGCUCAGGCCAGCAUCGGUUUUGGUGGUGGGAUAAAGGCCUUGGGAAUGUAGCUCCUUUCGGGGAGUGUUAUAGCCCUCGGUGCAAUGCCGCCUACCGGGACCGAGGACCGCGCUUCGGCUAGGAUGCUGGCGUAAUGGUUGUAAGCGAC